AUUAAGUUUAUACUGAAAUAUUUUCUAUGUAUGUAAUAUGUCAACAAACACAUAUUUUAUUAAUUAAUGGUCAAAUACUAAAUUGAGAUUUUAUAAAAAAAUUUAAUAAGCUGUAAAGCUUGUCAAUUUGUUUACUACAACUACAAUUUUUCAGCCCUUUUCCAGAAUUUGAACUAAUUUGAUCAUAAAGAUUGAUCUAUUUAUAAUUUAUCGAUUACAAUUUUUAGACAAUUAAAGCUGGUUAAAGGAACUUUUAUUUUGGAAAAAGAACUGCUGCUGUUUCAAGACAUGCGCACUAGCUGCGACAUCUAGUGACGACAUUUACCGGGCUUUAACGGUUGUUGCUGCAUGAAGUCUGCUGCAAUUUCUCUGAGAUUUCUCAAGAUCAUCAGUUUGGACAGAAUUCAUUUGAAGAAUUAAUAGCACUAGCAGGUUCCAAUAAAGGCUGGAACAGAACAGACAGAAAAGAAUCUGUUCAGAAAAACUACUGUUCGUGCACCAGAUGGUGAAGUAGAAAAGUUCAUAAAAACUUCUGCAGCUUGCAUCUGACAGAGAUGCAAAAAGAAGAAGAGAGCGGGCCUGAAAACAAGCAAAUUCAAGGGUACACUUGAGGAGUGUCCAGAUGUUUAUUAAUGUUUUAU